GACGAAACGUGCGAACGUUGUUCAGAAUCACUGGGCUUAAAGGGCGCGUAGGCGGGCAAUCAAGUCUGAGGUGAAAUCCUCCAGCUUAACUGGAGAAGUGCCCUGGAUACUGAUUGCCUCGAGGAUGGUAGGGGCAUCUGGAACUAGCGGUGGAGCGGUGAAAUGCGUUGAUAUCGCUAGGAACUCCGGUGGCGAAGGCGAGGUGCUGGACCAUUUCUGACGCUGAGGCGCGAAAGCCAGGGGAGCGAACGGG
rnacentral:rRNA from 1 species